CUCCUAACCUCUAAACAGCACAAUGAGUAAUGAUUCAGGUUAAUUUAGCAUACAUUAUUUGCUUCCCCCCAACAAAGGAGACAUUGGCAUCUUCUCCCAUUUCUAAUAAUAAUUAUUGGAUUUUAUCACUGACUUUUUGGGGAUGAUAUAUCCCAGUGAAAUUAUUUUAUUUGCGCAAGAAAUACUACAUAACCUUUCUACAAAGCUAAAGACACUUUAUGUAUGUAUGUAUGUGCAAGGUUUUCUUUAGAAAGGAG